rnacentral:misc_RNA from 1 species
GAUGAAGAACGCAGCGAAAUGCGAUACGUAAUGUGAAUUGCAGAAUUCAGUGAAUCAUCGAGUCUUUGAACGCACAUUGCGCCCCCUGGUAUUCCGGGGGGCAUGCCUGUCCGAGCGUCAUUGCUGGCCUCAAGCACGGCUUGUGUGUUGGGCCUCCGUCCUCCUCCCGGGGGACGGGCCCGAAAGGCAGCGGCGGCACCGCGUCCGGUCCUCGAGCGUAUGGGGCUUCGUCACCCGCUCUUGUAGGCCCGGCCGGCGCUUGCCGACACAUCAAUCUUUUUUCCAGGUUGACCUCGGAUCAGGUAGGGAUACCCGCUGAACUUAAGCAUAUCAAUAAGCGGAGGA